CCCGCACAAGCGGUGGAGCAUGUGGUUUAAUUCGUACGCAACGCGAAGAACCUUACCAGGGCUUGACAUCUUCUGACCGCUUAAGGAAACUUAAGCUUUCCGGAAGGUUUACUUUCUGGACAGAAAGACAGGUGGUGCAUGGUUGUCGUCAGCUCGUGCCGUGAGAUGUUGGGUUAAGUCCCGCAACGAGCGCAACCCCUACGGUUAGUUGCUAACGGGUAAGGCCGAGCACUUUAGCCGAACUGCCGUUGACAAACCGGAGGAAGGUGGGGAUGACGUCAAAUCAUCAUGCCCCUUAUGAUCUGGGCUACACACGUGCUACAAUGGCCGGUACAACGAGAAGCGAAACCGCGAGGUGAAGCAAAUCUUUUAAAGCCGGUCCCAGUUCGGAUUGCAGGCUGAAACUCGCCUGCAUGAAGUUGGAGUUGCUAGUAAUCGCGGAUCAGCAUGCCGUGGUGAAUGCGUUCCCGGGUCUU
rnacentral:rRNA from 1 species